rnacentral:rRNA from 1 species
GAGUAAUACUUAGGAAUCUACCUAGUAGUGGGGGAUAGCUCGGGGAAACUCGAAUUAAUACCGCAUACGUCCUACGGGAGAAAGCAGGGGAUCAUUAGACCUUGCGCUAUUANAUGANCCUAAGUCGGAUUANCUANAUGGUGGGGUAAAGGCCUACCAUGGCGACGAUCUGUAGCUGGUCUGAGAGGAUGAUCAGCCACACCGGGACUGAGACACGGCCCGGACUCCUACGGGAGGCAGCAGUGGGGAAUAUUGGANNAUGGGGGGAACCCUGAUCCANCCAUGCCGCGUGUGUGAAGAAGGNCUUUUGGUUGUAAAGCACUUUAAGCAGUGAAGAAGACUCUUCGGUUAAUACCCGGGGACGAUGAC